rnacentral:lncRNA from 9 species
UGAAAUGUUAUAAAAAUUCAACUCAAAUUUCCUAUUGCUAGAAGAGAAAGGAAUGCUCCUCAACUCUGCCAAGAAGCUGCAGAAAAAUUCAAAGACCAAGAACAAAAUAUGCCCUGUGAGAAAGUUUCCAUCAGGUAGCAGAUGUAAAUCCUACAGAAUCAUGGGUGCUGCUCACUCACUUGAAAAAAGAAUGAAGAGAACACGACAAAAAUAAAGGAACCAGAUCAUCAAUAUUUCAACCUGCCAUCAUUUUAUAUGUAGAAGAAUAACUGAUUUCUACAAACUACAUCUUUAGAUCAUCUUCGAUAAAUGUAAGUUUGGGAGCAAGAAAAGAAGAUGAGCAAAAUUAAAUAUGUAUUCGUUUCACAUAGAUGAUUUAAUUUAUCUAGUGUGGUGGCAUGUAGUAUAAAUUAAAUUAAGGAGUAGUAUAUGGAGGAGGGCUAAGAGUAAUCUUGAAUCCAAGAGAAAAAAGAAUUUGCAGAGGGGAAAUCAAUCUCAAAGGAAAGUAAUAGAGUAUAUAGCAUUUGAAAAAGAAAAUCCUAGGCACCUAUGUUAGAGCUUGUUGUGAACCAAAAAAUUUAAUGAUGGAAAUAAGAGAAACAAGAUAGCUAUUGUCAAAUAUGAGUUAGUGAGGGAUCCAGAUUUAUCAAAGACAUAAUUGCCAAGGUUUAUUGAUGGAAGAACUUUUAAAAUAUAUUAAUGUAUAUGAUUCUAGGAUAAAUCUUGGAGAGCUAGACUUAUUUUGAGAGAGUGAAACAUUAUAUGAGUGAAAAUUUCAGAGAAAAUAUGUGAUGUACAAUAAUUUUAUAAUUUUAAAUUUUUAUUGCUAUAAUUAAAUCCAUUUCUGAUUGUAAAUGAAUGAAUAAUGAAUCAACAAAACUAUUAAGGAGUAAAAGAAAUGGGGAUAUUGUGUAUUAACUAAGCACCCACCCCCAGAAAUAAAAAGAAAAUAAAAAGAGUUUAGAAUGAGGUUCAUUAUACUACAAUGCUUCUGAUUUUUUUUAAGUUAAUGGUUAAAGAAAAAAAGUGGUAACAGUGAAACAGACCAUAUGUAGCCAUAAAUAGCACAAGAGAAUCAGAGAAGUGUUAUCAAUAUAGAAAAAAAUAGUAGCAUUAUUGGCAUCCAAUCCUGCAGAAAACAUCCAAAAAAUUAUGGAAAAAUGUUUUUGGUUUGAAGUAACUUGACAUCAUAAAAUUAUUCCAGUGACACAGAAAGAAGAAGCCCCAGAAUGUAAGAGAGGAGGUAGACUUGUUGACAAAUAUAUUGGAAGCUAUAUUAAGUUGAUUUUAUGCUAAUUUAGGAAAGGUGAUUUACCUGAUUCAUCUUCAAAUCUCCCCAAAUUCAUUGCAGGGAUACUUGAAUAAAUCAAAUCCUUAAUUAAAGCAAAACACUUUUAGUGCAACAUUAUAAAGUGAGAAAAAUAAAUGAAACAUUGAUAUACUCCUAAGAGAUGGCUAUAAAAUAUUAACACACUGAGGCAAAAAAUAUACCUAAAAAAUUUCAUAUAUUAAAAUAUAUAACAAUUAAUAUGCUAAGAACUUAUAGAAGUUUUCCAGGUAAAGCAUGCAAAGUCUUUCAGUUGUGACCUUCAAAAUUUUAAAUUCUAAACCAAUGAAAAUAAGUUAUAUAAUUAUUCAUGUGGUCCAUUUUGCUGUGUAAAAUGUCUACAUGAAUUUCAGUAGUUUUAUUUGGUAAAAGGGUUAAUGAAGUGGCAGAUAUUCUGGCUCCUGUUGGAAAAAUGAUUUUUAUUUUCUAAGAUGUAGAUUUUUUAAUGUUGUUCAGUCUGAACUCAAAAUACUAAGGAUUCCAGCCCUCUGAGAAGUGUUAAUAGGAAAGCAGGAAGUAUUAUUUUAACAUUUGAACAACUAAUAAAAAUGUCCAGUCUAAACUUGCUUUCAGGCUAAUUAAUAUGCUGAUAAUGGUAGCAAAUAUGUCAUCAUUUCUCUUUAUGAUCAUGAAGGAAUUAUUUUGAAUAUGAAGCUACAUUGUAUUGAUUAAGAAAGUUAAUAUAUGAAAGUUAAAGUUGUAACAUGUAAAAUAAUUAGAUGUUUAUCAGUUCAAACCAAUAAUUCUUACAAUAUACUUAAAUUUUAAUUUUAUUAUUUAUGUAGGUAAUAUGCUUAAGAAGCAAGGCAUUCAGAAAAUGUUUAUACACCAAACAUCCUAUUUAAGAUUUGAAUUAUAACCAUGACAUGCCCUUGUUAUUUUUAAAAAGUAGUUAUUUUAACUCAAGUACACAAUAGAGUAAUGUCUGCUGGUUGAACAGUUUUUUAAAUAUAUUUUUAUGAUAAAGUUAUAGAUACUUGCAAGCAAUAUUUUGGCAAUUUUAAAAUAGAAAACUUUUGCCUUGUAAAUACUAAAUGGUCAAGAACUAAGCACAGAGGGAUGAAAUAAAGAAGCAGCAGAUGGGGAGGAUGUGAAGCCAACCAUAUUUAAGGAGCUGAAACCAAUUAGAAAGGUAUCACUGAAAGCUAUUCCACAGCAGACCUAAAAUGGAAAGCAAGUAUAAUAAUAAAAUGCCAUGGUUGAUCGCUCCUAAGGCCCAUGGAAUGUGAAGAAGCAGUAAGAGUGUAAUGUUAGCACCUUAAUAAGCAAUUUAUGAGUAAUUCAAUGCAAGCCUGUUUCUGUUUUUGGAAUCUAGAUUGAACACUGGAUGAAAUGAAAACAGUUGGGCAAUGCUAUUAAUCUGUGCACUAAGCACAUGUUCAGAUAGCUUCUGUGGGGCUAAUAAUUGGCAACAGGUUAAAAAUGGAAGAUCAUUACAAGUUAAGGAUUUAGAAAAUUUAAUGGUGUGUUCCUCCUGGGAAAGGAAAAAAAUGAACCUGUGAAAAAACUAAGGAUUGCUGAGCAAGUAGCUAAUCAUUUCCAAACUUUAUCAGUUUACUGUGGUAGACUUCAGAUUCAUAUUAAAAAUUAAAGAAUCAAAUAUAUAGUCCUCACAUUAGAAGAUACUUUGAAGGAAAGGAAAUAACUUUACAUCUAAUAAAAACUUCAAAAGCACACUCCAAAUAAUUUCUCAGUAUCUGUCUUUGAUAUAAAAUAGUUCAUAUAUUGUUUGGGUUUUAAAAUAUAC